AGUACUUAAGCUGAGGCUGAAAGGGUGGUGUGAUUUAGCCCAGAAGGCAACAGAAAAAAGGCAUUUUAAGCAGAGGGACUGGGACAAGCAAAGCGGCAGAGGCUGGAAGGAGGAGCAGCUCAAAGAGUUCCAGUUAUUGAGAAAGAAUCUCUGCAUCACCUGAGAAGUAGGCCAUGGGUUGCCUCUAUCUGGGGAUUUGGUUGAAACAAUGACUGGGCGGGUUCUUGACCCCUUCCAGAUCCUCCUGCCAAGUCCCACUCCUCUUCCACAAUGCUGCCCAGAAAUCACCUACCAGCUCUUGCCCCAGCUCUUGGCCCCCAUUACACAGGCUUCCCUGGUGGCUCAGACAGUAAAGAAUCUGCCUGCCAUGAAGGAGACCUGGGUUGGGAAGAUUCCCCUGGAGAGGGAAAUCGCAAUCCACUCCAGAAUUCUUGCCUGGAGAAUUCCAUGGACAGAGGAGUCUGGUGGGCUACAGUCUAUGGGGUCACAUAGAGCUGGACAUGGAUGAGCGACUAAGCACACACUUUACAGCUUCUUUGUCUUGCCUUUGAAAACCUCUCCCUCUCUGCAAGCCUCUGGAGCUCCUCUCUGCUCGCUGGAUGGAAUGCUGACAGAUUCAAGAAUCGUUCAAUAUGCAAAUCGUUCAAUAUGUAAAAUCUAUCAAUACUUGGUUGCAUUUUUGUUAUUCUACAGAAGAAAUAAUGACUCAAACACAAAUUAUAGAAGUUGUUACUUCAUGUUAAAUAAAUAACAGAUUCAAAUAUAGGAAGGGAUGCUACCUUUAUAACACAUUACACAUCAAUAAAGUGGGGGGAAAAAAGAAAAUUAUAUACUUUUAAAAAGAAAAUAAAAUGUAUUCAAUUACUUUUAUUAUUUCCCCUUUGGGGGGGGAAAAAAACACAACAGCUCAGUUAAUUUCACUUUCUGUGUUUGUUUCAUUUCCUCCUACAAUGUUCAGCAAGUUUUCUAUU